AAAAAAAAAAAGAUGAUGAUGAUUAGCAUGACCCCUGUGCAAGGAUGACAUACAAAUUCGUGAAGUGUUACAUAUCUUA
ensembl:snRNA Gm26017 predicted gene, 26017